AAGCACGGCUUCGCAGCACACAGACGGGGAGUCCGCUCCCGAGCAGCGUUGCGAGGAAAGUCCCCGUGCCAUGGGGCGGAGAGUGUCGGCGGGAGGCCGCCGGGCAGUGGCGCGGCCGCGAGCGGCGAGGCCGUCGUGCGGAGCUUGGUCGCGGCAUGCGCCGCUGCCUUUCACAGCAGCAAAGAGAUGCCGUGUGCGCCUUGCGAGUUGGGCGCAAACAGAACGGGGCUCACUCUC
rnacentral:RNase_MRP_RNA from 1 species